rnacentral:rRNA from 1 species
GUCUACCACCAUACCACCCUGAACACGCCUGAUCUCGUCUGAUCUCGGAAGCUAAGCAGGGUCGGGCCUGGUUCAUACUUGGAUGGGAGACCGCCUGGGGAUACCGGGUGCUGUAGGCU